CCUACGGGGGACAGCAGUAGGGAAUAUUGCUCAAUGGGGGAAACCCUGAAGCAGCAACGCCGCGUGGAGGAUGAAGGUUUUCGGAUUGUAAACUCCUUUUGUUAGAGAAGAUAAUGACGGUAUCUAACGAAUAAGCACCGGCUAAAUCCGGUCCAGCAGCCGCGGUAAUACGGAGGGUGCAAGCGUUACGCGGAAUCACUGGGCGUAAAGGGCGCGUAGGCGGGAUAGCAAGUCAGAUGUGAAAUCCUAUGGCUUAACCAUAGAACUGCAUUUGAAACUGUUAUUCUAGAGUAUGGGAGAGGUAGGUGGAAUUCUUGGUGUAGGGGUAAAAUCCGUAGAGAUCAAGAAGAAUACUCAUUGCGAAGGCGACCUGCUAGAACAUAACUGACGCUGAUGCGCGAAAGCGUGGGGAGCAAACAGGAUUAGAUACCCUUGUAGUC
rnacentral:rRNA from 1 species